rnacentral:rRNA from 1 species
GACGUAGGGCGCGAGCGUUGUCCGGAUUUAUUGGGCGUAAAGAGCUCGUAGGCGGCUUGUCGCGUCGACUGUGAAAACUCGGGGCUCAACUCCGAGCUUGCAGUCGAUACGGGCAGGCUAGAGUUCGGUAGGGGAGACUGGAAUCCUGGUGUAGCGGUGAAAUGCGCAGAUAUCAGGAGGAACACCGGUGGCGAAGGCGGGUCUCUGGGCCGAUACUGACGUGAGGAGCGAAAGCGUGGGGAGCGAACAGG